AUUCCAGAGGUGGCAUGUCUCAUGCCACUCCGGCAGCAAGCGAAGGUGUCCUUGACACCCGUGGUAUAGUCCCCCCGGCUAUACCACGAUAUUUUUUU
rnacentral:ncRNA from 2 species